UAUGAUAAGUGGGAUUCGAACCCACGCCUACAAGAGUAGAUUGCGACCUAAACGUACCCCCUUAGACCGCUCGGCCACCCUGAC